GUCUGCUUCAAUAUCAUACUGCUUUAAAUAUGCUGACUUUACAUCUGAUCUCGGAAGCUAAGCAGGGUCGGGCCUGGUUAGUACUUGGAUGGAGACCGCCUGGGAAUACCGGGUGCUGUAGGCU
ensembl:rRNA 5S_rRNA 5S ribosomal RNA